rnacentral:rRNA from 1 species
UACGUAGGGUGCAAGCGUUAAUCGGAAUUACUGGGCGUAAAGCGUGCGCAGGCGGUUUGUUAAGACAGAUGUGAAAUCCCCGGGCUUAACCUGGGAACUGCAUUUGUGACUGGCAAGCUAGAGUAUGGCAGAGGGGGGUAGAAUUCCACGUGUAGCAGUGGAAUGCGUAGAGAUGUGGAGGAAUACCGAUGGCGAAGGCAGCCCCCUGGGCCAAUACUGACGCUCAUGCAC